CCUACGGGAGGCAGCAGUAGGGAAUAUUGCUCAAUGGGGGAAACCCUGAAGCAGCAACGCCGCGUGGAGGAUGAAGGUUUUCGGAUUGUAAACUCCUUUUGUUAGAGAAGAUAAUGACGGUAUCUAACGAAUAAGCACCGGCUAACUCCGUGCCAGCAGCCGCGGUAAUACGGAGGGUGCAAGCGUUACUCGGAAUCAAUGGGCGUAAAGGGCGGGUAGGCGGGAUAGCAAGUCAGAUGUGAAAUCCUAUGGCUUAACCAUAGAACUGCAUUUGAAACUGUUAGUCUAGAGUAUGGGAGAGGUAGGUGGAAUUCUUGGUGUAGGGGUAAAAUCCGUAGAGAUCAAGAGGAAUACUCAUUGCGAAGGCGACCUGCUAGAACAUAACUGACGCUGAUGCGCGAAAGCGUGGGGAGCAAACAGGAUUAGAUACCCCUGUAGUC
rnacentral:rRNA from 1 species